rnacentral:rRNA from 1 species
UACGAAGGGGGCUAGCGUUGCUCGGAAUUACUGGGCGUAAAGGGCGCGUAGGCGGACAGUUUAGUCAGAGGUGAAAGCCCAGGGCUCAACCUUGGAAUUGCCUUUGAUACUGGCUGUCUUGAGUACGAGAGAGGUGAGUGGAAUUCCCAGUGUAGAGGUGAAAUUCGUAGAUAUUGGGAAGAACACCGGUGGCGAAGGCGGCUCACUGGCUCGUAUCUGACACUCAAGCGCGACAGCGUGGGGAUCAAACAGG